UGUACGUUUUGAUAGUUUGUUUUUUCGAUUGAAACACAAAACAAAAUAACGAGAAACCACCUGUUUUUCGUUUGUCGUUUCAAACCAAAAUCAAAGAAACGGUAAAAAAAGAGCCGUUCUCCCGUUUUUGGUUCUGAAUCUAAAAACGAAAAAUGACAAAACCAAAAUCAAAUAACGGUCCGAUUUUGGUUUUUUGAAAGUCCUUUUUCCAUUUUUUCGUUUGAAGAUCUACAUUGAAAUACAGACAGGUUGGCCACGUGACCCGGAAGUAAUAGUAAAUAUGGCCUAUCAAAAUAAAAGCCAAGCUUUUAGAACGGUCAUAUUAUGCAGCGCUAACGUUAUACCAGAGUAACGUUAGAAGAAAAAUCUAUUAAUAAAUAGCCUUAUAUAAACCUGGACCGGAAUAAAUAUGUUAGCAACAGUAGUUUAUUACAGCUAUUUAAUAUCGUGCCUAUCCAGACAUCACCAGUCACGUUUAAUGAGCGCAUUGUUUGGCUCAAUACAGUUGGUAAUAUAGGUUAACCUAAGAACUUAUUGUGUGUGCAGAGUUGUUACUGUUAGCGCUAUAUUAUAUAAUUAAAUUUAUAUUUAAUGUGGUUUCCACCGUAAUGAAUAACUGUUCCCCCUUUCUACCAGCAGGUGGCAGUAUUUAAAUGACUGACUGUAUGGUGUCUUUGGUAACUGUUUUAAAUCAAGAUUACUGAUACAGAUGUAUUUAUUGUUGUUCAUUGUAUUUUGUUUUUAUUUGCCUAGUUAUCAUCAUCAUCAUCAUCAUUCACCCAGCCCAGAGUUAAACCUGCUUCUGUUUUAACCUGAUUAUAACACUGCACUGCUAUCAGCUUCUUAUAGCAGCUCAGACAACAAACUCACAUCAGACAUGUCCUAAUCCUAAUGUAGGCCAUCUAGCCAAAAUAAUGAUUUACCAGUGUGCUAUAUACUUUGUGAAUCUUUCUUCUCUAUACACAUUCCAGUUUGUAUAACAUACAAAACUCUGAUUGUGUCAUGCCAGUGAAGAGAAUCCAUAAAAGUCUUAAAAUUUUAUAUAGCACAUACAUGCUUUCAAGGGCAUUGCAUGUACAAUCAAUGGCUGCAGAACAUUUGUUAAGCCCUAAGGUAAGAACAUUUUACAAGGUCCUCAAAAGAAAACCCCAAAACAUAAUUACAUUACUAAAAACAGGCUGUCAACGCUGAUUACAUCAGGAAUAACUGCAACAAAACGUUUCCAGUAACUUUUGAUAUGUCCUGCUUAUUGACUUGGACGAAUCUUUGCCCAUUCCUCUGUACAGAACAGCUUCAACUCUUGGAUGUUGGUGGGUUUCCUCACAUGAGCUGCUUGCUUCCUCAUCCUUCCACAACAUUUCAAUCAUUUUAAGGUCAUAACUUUUGACUCUGCCUUUCCAAAACAUUCACUUUAUUCUUCUUUAAGAUGUGAUGGAAAACCCAGUUGUGGCACCGUGCUGCCGCAGCCUCGUUGGAUGCCGGGUCUGCGUUGAGCAGUGGGCAACUACCUCGCCGCACUGCCCAAAAUGCAGGGACGAGAUGUUCCAAGAAAAAAAAAAUUUAAAUUACAGGGAUGGGGGAGAUUGUGAAUGUUUUGAAAGACACUAUUAGUUAGGAGAUUGUUUUAGUUAGUUUUUAUUUUAGGUUUAGGUUUUAAGUUAAGUCAAAUGGUUAAGUUUGGUUAUGUUCAUCUGUUAUGUUAUUUUAUGCAAUUAAUAAAUUGUUCAAUUUUAUUUUCUAUUACUCUCACUUGCAGAACUCCUUUUGUUGUAUUCAUUUUAUGUUAUUUUAUGCAAAUAAUAAAUUAAUAUAAAUAUUUUAAUAAAAUAAAUUAUGUUCACUUUCA